rnacentral:rRNA from 1 species
UAAACGACUCUCGGCAACGGAUAUCUCGGCUCACGCAUCGAUGAAGAACGUAGCAAAAUGCGAUACUUGGUGUGAAUUGCAGAAUCCCGUGAACCAUCGAGUUUUUGAACGCAAGUUGCGCCCGAAGCCUUUCGGUCGAGGGCACGUCUGCCUGGGCGUCACGC